CACGCCUCGCUGGUCAGAAGCGCGAUGGGCUCACGAAACAAAUCUUCAGAAAAAAAAUACAGGUCGCUUAAAAAUCAAAUUGAACACCCUUCCCAAUUUAUUCACAAGAACUUUGUCUUGGUUUUAGCAAGUCGAGGAGCUGAACAAACAUCAAACGCUGGACUUUGUUUGCCACAACUUCGCUACACAAGCCGUCGUUUGGUGACAAUGAUGGCAACACGUGGUAUCAGGAGCUUGAUCCCUUCUCAGUGGUGACUCGGAUAACCAGCAGGUUAGGAAAUGAUGUUUGGGUUGGGGUGGAUUUGGGUGUUGCCCAUUUGCUGGCCUGUGAUGGAUCCCAGUUCCCCAACAUUUUCUUUAAAGGGGGCGCAAGGGAGCUUAGAACGCUGAAUUCUCCACUGGAGCUAUCCGAGCGCUCAGAGCACCUCAAUACUGACCCGGUCCAUGAUUUUGCUGCUGUGCACCAGCUAUAUGUCACACAUAUAGAAGAAAGAAAGAGACACACAGCAGCACAUCUGGUGGUCGCAGAACUCCAGCAGCAGACACAGA